AAAAGGGAGCUCACUGUCCGUCUAGCCCCCAUUAAUGCUAGAUCGCUAGCUAAUAAGACAUUCCUGCUUAAUGACUUCUUUACCUCUCGGGAAUUGGAUUUUAGGUUUCUGACGGAGACCUGGCUUCACUCUGCUGUACCUGGCCAAAAUACACAUACCCACAUCCGGCUUCCCACCCACAGACACGGCCAUUUGUGUCUGUAGAGAUGCCCGACCAAGCCGAAGGUAACACGGGGAUUUGAACUGGCAAUCCCCAUGUUGUGAGACCUACGCACCGUACUAUGAGCUGGCUCACUGUAGUAUUAUCCUGAAUUCAAGAGAAAUGAUUGGUCCAUGGGUAGCUAUGGAAACCAAAGUCUGAGUCGCAGGUAGAGCAGGCAAAAGGGAAUGCAAUCACUUCUGCCCUCCUCAUCUGGACCUGAUGAGCCCUCCCCAGCUAAUGGAGUUUAGCACAAACAAAAUGGACAGAUUAAACCAGAGAGGAAGCUAUUGUGGGGGAACCAACCGAUCACUUUUAAUGGCACUGGGUCACGCCAACUCUGCUUCUCUGUGGACCGGCAUGAUGGGA